rnacentral:rRNA from 1 species
AGAAUCAACGCUGGCGGCGUGCCUAACACAUGCAAGUCGAACGAGAAUGGGGUAGCAAUACCCCUAGUAAAGUGGCGCACGGGUGAGUAACACGUGACUAACCUACCCUGGAGUGGGGGAUAACUGGGAGAAAUCCUAGCUAAUACCGCAUAACACCUACGGGUCAAAGGAGCAAUUCGCUUCAGGAGGGGGUCGCGGCCGAUUAGUUAGUUGGCGGGGUAAUGGCCCACCAAGACGAUGAUCGGUA